rnacentral:misc_RNA from 1 species
AUACACUUAGGAGAAAUAUGCUUUAGGGGGUAAAAGAAUAAUAAGACAAAAUCGGCUUACGAAAAAGUGAACACUUCACCCAAUAUCAUUUCCUCUUUUAUACUGGUUUGAUUAAGAUCCAAAAGGCAUGGGGUAAACAUGAAAAGCGGUAAGACCCUACUUAGAAAACUCAAUACUGAGC